UGGGGGCCUUCGGCUUCCGAAGGUCCUCAAAAACGUAAUUUGACUAUGUUUUCCAAAAGAAAUAUGUGAACAGGUACCUUCGAAGUUAGAUUGCGAGUAUACAAGAACAUGGUUAAGACGAAGCUUGAUUGGGACGGCGAUCACGACGAAAGGAUAAGACGAUCACGAAACUACGUGCAGAAGAGCUUCGGCAUAACGACAGAAAGAGGAAACUGACUUAAAGAUGAAAAGCCAAAUUAGACCUCGAAGAAUUACUAUAGAGUUAUUGAUAAAUGUAAAGGGCAUUAAUGUAAUUUUGCAUGGGCUGCGACCCGUGCCUAUAAAUAGGUGAACAGUAUUCCCGUAUUGUUCACGCUGACCGGGCAUUUACUUUUGUGUGACACCUGUAUUCUCAUUCCUUCAAGCCGAAGGUACAUUUGUAAUUUAUUAUUAUUUACACAAGUAAUAUAAAUGGAAAUAAAUUGAUAAUUAUAUUUACCUAAAUUAUGUUAUUCCUUGUACUUUGCAUGAAUAUUCUCCAUUUCUUUAUCAUGAUCAUGAGGGUAUGUCCUUUAUGACCUUCGUUCUAGAUUCAUUAUAUCCGAAGGGAAAUAAUGAUUCAAAGGACGAAGGGCUUUGAUAUUUAACAUUUUAUGUUGCCUUGUUCUUGAUUCAUAGCAUUUGAGAACAAGUCCCCAACAUUGGCGCCCACCUCCGGUGAACUCACUUCCAUUUCUUGAGCUUUGAAUACCUUCGGCAAGCAUCAUCUUCGUCAUGCCGCCGAAAAAAGCUUCAGCAACAGGGGCUGCCACUCUGUAGCCGCUGGACCCCAAUCAGGACGUCCCUUCCCUUAGGGAGGCCCGAAGCCAGAAGAGGAAGGUCGUUAGUCCAACGCCUCCGGAGGACGACUUGGAUCAGGAGAUUCAAAAUCUGGAGAUCCUUCAGCAGCAGGUGCAACGAAAAAAGGAGAAGAUGGCUCGUCUAGCUGAUCUUCAGAGACAGAUAGAUGAAGCUUCGGAAGAGGUUCGUCAUCUUGUUCAAGAUGAUCAGAACCGAAGGCCUCCGCGCAGAGAGCUUCAUCAAGAAGGCUUUUACAAUGAGGACGACUGGUAUGAAGAUUUCCAUCAUGGAAAUUUGCUUUCGAUGAUGCUUCUCCUCUCUCAACAGAAUUGCAGGCUACACCAUGGCCCCAGUCUUACAAGCCACCCCAGCUCCCCAUGUACGAUGGUCAUACAGACCCGAAGCAAUUUUUGAUGAGCUAUGAAGCAACCAUAUCUUCGUAUGGUGGCAAUACUGCAGUCAUGGCAAAGUCUUUUGUCAUGGCCGUCAAGAGUGUCGCUCAGACCUGGUACUCCUCUCUCCGGCCAGGGACAAUCAUCUCUUGGCAGAAGCUGAAGGAUAUGUUGAUAACCAGCUUCCAAGGAUUUCAGACAAAGCCAGUCACCGCUCAGGCUCUCUUCCAGUGUACCCAGGACCAUGAAAAAUACCUUCAGGCGUAUGUCCGAAGGUUUCUGCGUCUGAGGGCACAGGCGCCAACAGUGCCCAAUGAAAUUGUCAUUGAGGCCAUGAUUAAGGGGCUUCGGCCGGGACCUUCAGCGCAAUACUUUGCCAGGAAGCCACCACAAACUUUGGAGAAGCUGCUCCAGAAGAUGGACGAGUAUAUUCGAGCUGACAAUGACUUCCGCCAAAGAAGGGAGGAAGCAUUCAGGUUCUCUGAGAUGACCAGGGGCUUCGGAGGAAGAUUUCACCCGAGGCAUGUUAGGUCAAUUCAUAACUCUACUCAAAGUGAUGAUCGAGGGAGCCAGCAGCAAAGGCCACAAUACUCUUCACAAGCUUCGGGGCAGCAGCAAAGUUCUUUUCGGUCGUCAGCGCCAAGAGGCAGAGGCGCCAGGGGCUUCGGGGGAAGGUUUGGAGAUCAGCCAAGAAAAAUUUACUGCCUAUUCUGUGGUGAAGACAAGGGCCAUACCACCAGGAUGUGCCACGUUACCAUCCCGAAGCAGAAGGAGAUAGCAGAAGCAGCAGCGCAACAAAGUCAGCCGAAGCAGGUCAUGCAUACUGCUUCGUAUCAUUCGCCUUAUAUUCCAGAAUAUGUAGGCAACCACCCUGCAGCUUCUGUUGCUUCGGCAAGCCAACCCCAAGCAUCUUGGCAACAGCCUCCACCGCCACCGCCGACGCAGCGAGGACAGCAGCCAGAAGGGAGUCAGCACAAUCACCUUCAGAGGGACUUCAGAGAGGAGUCCGAAGGUCGCACAGUCAAUAGCACUGUGCCAGAGUCGAAGCACAUUUAUUGAUAAAUAUCCUACCUCAACAGUAUUACUUUUUUGUUAAUAAUGAACAAUUAUGGGAAGCUUAAGUGUCUUUUAUCGUUUUUCAAUUUCUUGUAACACUUUCGUCUUUUACCAUAAUAAAAAUAUGUCUUUUCCAUAGGCUUGAGUUGCCGAAGCAUACGAAUUUAUGGUGGCAUGAAGGACCUUUGUAUUAUCAAAAAAUUUGUUCUAACGGACAUAGUGCAAAUUGUUCGAAACAGUAAAAAGUCGUUCCUAAGGGAGCGCAGAGUAAGUUUUCUGAGCCUACAGCGAAAAAUAAACGCUGAUUCCGCUGAAAGUAAAAGGCGAAGAAGCUCCUAAGGGAGGCUUACAGCGAAAAAUAAACGCUGAUUCCGCUGAAAGUAAAAGGCGCAGAAGCUCCUAAGGGAGGCUUACAGCGAAAAAUAAACGCUGAUUCCGCUGAAAGUAAAAGGCGAAGAAGCUCCUAAGGGAGGCUUACAGCGAAAAGUCAGCGCUGAUAUAAAAAAGUGUGUGUGCUCUAUUACAGGGAUAUGUAUCUGCGGCACAAAUAUCAUUUUGCAUAACAUAACAUCAUCACAUCAUUCUGCAUAACAUAAGCAUCAUACAGCAUACUGCAUGUGGAACAAGAGGGGGAUACAGUGUUGAUCUUCGGAGAAUAUUUUGGAAAAGAGAAAAUCGUGCUAAGGCACAAGAUAAAUCGAGAAGAAGUGUAGCUUCAUUAGAGAGGCAACACAAAACUUUUUUAUAGCUUUGGAGAAUAUUUCACGAAGCUUGGAUAUUCUUCAUCAGAGAAGCAUGUAAAUUCUUGUGAUACAGAGAAGAUUUUCUUCACGAAGCAUAAAAAGAAGGGAAGGUGUUUUUUCGCCGAAUGCUCAAAAAUGGUAUGUAUGCAAAAUUUCAUGCAUCGUAAAGAAUUAAAAACUAUAAAUAGAUUAUAUAUUACAUUCAAAGUUACAAUGUAUUACACAUGUUACGAUCCAAAUGUUUCUACAAUAGCAUUUAAUCCUCCUUAAGAACUAUUUCCGCAGCUUCGUUCAGUAGCUGGUCGACAACUUUGUCCAUAAUGGCUUCGGCCAUUUUUCUAAUUUCAUCGUCCCCCUUCGGGUGGGGGCCCGGAGAUGCCCCAGCAGGUUCUGAGGGAAGAGAAGAUACGGCUAUAUUACUAUUACAAACCGCGAACAAAGUUUGGAAUCAAAAAUUACAACAUAAUAAAAACCACUAAUUAAUACCUAUUUGCGCUUCGGGCUCUGUACUUUUCUCCGCAGCUUCUGCUACUUUUCUGGCAUCGUGGAUGCCUUUUUUGCUCUUUUGAAUAAUUUCUUGCGCCAUUUCUCGGCCGCCAUUGUCCCAGAUAUCAGUGAAAAAAUUUCCGCCGAUCAUGCUUGCUUCGGUUGAGGGGUCUUUAAUGUCUUCGGAGGACAAGGUAACUUCGGAUUGCGCUAGAGAUUUUACAUGCUCACAACCUUUCUUCUCCAAAACAGUAGCAAUUCCUCUAGCACCUGAAAAAGCACAUAUGUCUCCGCGGCUAUUCAGGAUUUCUUCGAAGGCCUUAGCUUCGUGACUGAUCCAUUCCAUCGGACCUUCGGGAUUGCCUCUUGAGAAAUUCUCUUCGCUAGAGAAUGCGCCAACGUUGGCGAAGCUGGAUUUUAUCUUCUUGACGCACUCUAUGGAUUUAACAUAGCAUCUUCUCUGGGAUGCACGAAGCUCUUUAACAUUUAUUUCUAAAUGAUUGGCCCAUUGAUCACUAAGCUCUCGUUUUGUCUCCUCAAGUAUACGUUCUUCUUUAGCUCUGGCUAACUGUUUCUGAAGAUCUUUAAUUUCGCGUUUUUGGGCUUCAGCUUGAGCUUUGGAGGAAGCUUCGUCUUCCUUUAUUUUGUCCACCAAUGUAAGCAGAAUUUUAUCUUUCUCUAGAGCUUCGUUCCUCAGCUUAAUAACCUUUGAUCGUAGAUUAUUGAAAGCAAUGUCAUAGCUCUCGUCUUCGGCAUUCUUUUGUACUCUCAGCGCGUUGCUCAAUAUUAAGCCCUGUAUAUACAAGAAUUAGUAUAAGAAUAAAAGAAUGAUUCAAAAAUUGUAAAUUUUUUAGUAUACAAUUCUCGCACCUUCAGGCUAUUGUAUGCAAGGCUAUCCGCAAGAUCCUCCUUCGCCAUAGCGCAUAAUCCAGCUUCAAGCUUCGGAAACCCCAUACUCCUAGCCAUCUCCCGGCAGACAGAUAAUUCUUUAUUAUCAGGGAGGCAGUAUAGGAAGUCAUCUUCGUCUGUUCCAUUGAACACUAAUGCUCCCUUCGGAUAUUUUAAUUCUCUAGCAUAGUGAUUAGCUUCAUAAAUCUCUUCUUCAGAUAGUUUUUUCCCCGAAGCAUGCCGUACAAUGUAAUCGCUUAUGUUGGAAGGUGCUUCGGGGGCAGCAGUGUCAAUUCCUUCAACCGAAAUUGGCUCUGACAUUUUUAUUUUUUCAGCUUCCAAUGCUGCCUUUGUAACCUUUGUUUCUUCGGUUUCCAAAGGUUGUUCCUUGGAGGGCUCUGAAGGCCCAGCUUCAGCUUCGGGUUGUUGCUUCGAAGUUUCAGCAACGAAGGCUUCAGUAGACACUUCACAAGUUCCAAUGGUUUUCUUUGGAGUUAUGCUCGAAGACUUAAUUGUCUCCAAAACAUCUAACACAUUAACCAUCCUUUUUCUUUUCAGGGUCACUGUUGGACCCUUCUGGCUUUUUUCUGACUCAAUUUUUGUUGAAGCACUUAAAACUCCUAAUGUUUUCGCUUCUUCAGUCUUUGCUUCUUCUAUCUUUUCUGUUGCUGGCUCUUCGACCAGCUCUUUAAUUCCUGGCAGCAGAGUUGAUUCUUUAGCUUCGGUGGUCGAAGAGGUCUCACCGGCGAACUCAGGCACUGUGGCCAGUUCAAUGUAACGUGGCCGGUGUGUGAGAACUUUUACCCUUUUCCUCUUCGGCGCCGGCUCACUAGGAGCGGCUGAAGUAGUUUCCUUCGCAGAGGAAGUGUUCUUUCUUUUUUGACCCCGCACUGGAUAGUGGUAGUCGGGGUACACAAACCCAAUUGCGUCAAACACUCGGUUCAGCCUCUUCUUUUUUCGGCCUCCGAAGGCUGCUGACAAUGCAGUAUCUUCGGCCUUUGAAUAUACCCCAAGUAGUUCAUCACUUACAGUUUCAAUGCUUUUUAACCAGUCAUCAUCUGGCUCAACGAAUUUAUCUCCGAACUUAAAAGUGUACUUCAGCCUGACUAGUCCACCUUCGUCAGCCUCUUUAAUGGUCUCCUGCGGCAUUUCCCAUUUUUCCACAAGCGGCCAUACUCUGAAGGCAAUGUGUUCUUGGACCAAAUCCCUCGUCCCAAUAAAAGAGCAAACAACUCCGAAGGCUCUCUGGCAUUCUUCGGCUGAUUCAUUCAUUUCCACCUUUGGCCUCCGCAGGCCGAAGCGUUGCCAGAUGGGACACAUAAUGAUCUUCUUUAUAUCUUCUCGUGAUUCCAAGUCAUUCUUCAUGUAAAACCAUUCCGUCAUCCAGUCGCCAGGCCACCUCUUUCGAAAGGUCGGCACUGGGCAGCUUGACCCAGACCGGGAGCCGAAGCUGUAGCAGCCAAAAUUGUUGUGAUACUGUUCCUUACCCUAGGGUUUUGUCUCGUAUAACAAUUCGUGUAUGUUGCAGAAACUUUUCGCAUCUGGUUCCAGGCCUUAGCUUCUCACGGCCCACACGAAGAUAUUCAUCCUUAUGAUUGCUUCGGGGGUAAGUUGGUGAAGGUAGAUUUCAAAUAUCUUCAACACCUCUACAACAAAGCUGCUUAGGGGAAAUCGCAGUCCAGCUUUCAAGAAACUUCGGAAUAUUACGACUUCAUUUUCCUCAGGAGUUGGACAAGUCUUCUCUCCUUCGUCGGCCCUCACAACGGACAAGUCCCGGAAAUAUCUUCCUCUCAUGUUGACAAGAUGAUUUUCUUUAAUACUUGAUUUGCCGAAAACCGCAUGGCUUGGUCGCCAAGGUCGAUCUUCGGAGUCUUCACCACCACUAUCCACAUCAUAGCUGUCGCUGUCACCAGUAUCUUCAGAUAAACCUUCCAAAAUUUCUCUAGUAAUCUUCUCUGUAUUAGUCUUCGACAUAGAUUGAAGAAAACCCAGAUGCAUUUCCUCAGAAAGACUCAGCUUCGAAUCACCAACAACUUUGUUAUCUUCAGACAUCCUUGCAAACGCUGAGAAACUGCUCUCAACUCCGAAGCCUUAAAAUCUAAAAGGCCGGGCAAAGGUUGUUGCGCGUAGGCUAAAGGUUGGGUGAGUAAAAACAGUUGGCAAGAGAGCGUAUCAAAUAACUCGGGAUGAGCUCUUAUUUAUACGCCCAGAGCGUUGAAAACUGGAGGGUCCCGCUUGUCAAAGACUGAUUGCUAUUCUAGCAAGGGGAAGGUGUUUUUUCGGACCUUCGACUUAAGGCCUUCGUCCAUAUCGCAAUAUGAAUUUAUCAGUACAGCAAAUUAAUAUUGCGAGGGGCUACUGUUGGGGGCCUUCGGCUUCCGAAGGUCCUCAAAAACGUAAUUUGACUAUGUUUUCCAAAAGAAAUAUGUGAACAGGUACCUUCAAAGUCAGAUUGCGAGUAUACAAGAACAUGGUUAAGACGAAGCUUGAUUGGGACGGCGAUCACGACGAAGGAUAAGACGAUCACGAAGCUACGUGCAGAAGAGCUUCGGCAUAACGGCAGAAAGAGGAAACCGA
rnacentral:lncRNA from 1 species